GCAGAUAUAGCCGAGUGGUUAACGCGACUGACUCGAAAUCAGUUUCCAUCUUGGAGCGUAGAUUUGAACCCUACUAUCUGCG
rnacentral:tRNA from 1 species